AGUGAACGCUGGCGGUAGGCCUAACACAUGCAAGUCGAACGGCAGCACAGUAAGAGCUUGCUCUUACGGGUGGCGAGUGGCGGACGGGUGAGGAAUACAUCGGAAUCUACUUUUUCGUGGGGGAUAACGUAGGGAAACUUACGCUAAUACCGCACACGACCUACGGGUGAAAGCAUGGGAUCUUCGGACCUUGCGCGAUUGAAUGAGCCGAUGUCGGAUUAGCUAGUUGGCGGGGUAAAGGCCCACCAAGGCGACGAUCCGUAGCUGGUCUGAGAGGAUGAUCAGCCACACUGGAACUGAGACACGGUCCGGACUCCUACGGGAGGCAGCAGUGGGGAAUAUUGGACAAUGGGCGCAAGCCUGAUCCAGCCAUACCGCGUGGGUGAAGAAGGCCUUCGGGUUGUAAAGCCCUUUUGUUGGGAAAGAAGAGCAGCAGGUUAAUACCCCGCUGUUCUGACGGUACCCAAAGAAUAAGCACCGGCUAACUUCGUG
rnacentral:rRNA from 1 species